UACGGGAGGCAGCAGUGGGGAAUAUUGGACAAUGGGCGCAAGCCUGAUCCAGCCAUGCCGCGUGAGUGAUGAAGGCCUUAGGGUUGUAAAGCUCUUUUAUCCGGGACGAUAAUGACGGUACCGGAGGAAUAAGCCCCGGCUAACUUCG
rnacentral:rRNA from 1 species